rnacentral:rRNA from 1 species
AGUGAACGCUGGCGGUAGGCCUAACACAUGCAAGUCGAACGGCAGCACAGUAAGAGCUUGCUCUUACGGGUGGCGAGUGGCGGACGGGUGAGGAAUACAUCGGAAUCUACUUUUUCGUGGGGGGUAACGUAGGGAAACUUACGCUAAUACCGCAUACGACCUACGGGUGAAAGCAGGGGAUCUUCGGACCUUGCGCGAUUGAAUGAGCCGAUGUCGGAUUAGCUAGUUGGCGGGGUAAAGGCCCACCAAGGCGACGAUCCGUAGCUGGUCUGAGAGGAUGAUCAGCCACACUGGAACUGAGACACGGUCCAGACUCCUACGGGAGGCAGCAGUGGGGAAUAUUGGACAGUGGGCGCAAGCCUGAUCCAGCCAUACCGCGUGGGUGAAGAAGGCCUUCGGGUUGUAAAGCCCUUUUGUUGGGAAAGAAAAGCAGCAGGUUAAUACCCCGCUGUUCUGACGGUACCCAAAGAAUAAGCACGGCUAACUUCGUG